rnacentral:rRNA from 1 species
GAUGAACGCUGGCGGCGUGCCUAAUACAUGCAAGUAGAACGCUGAAGCUUGGUGCUUGCCCCGAGCGGAUGAGUUGCGAACGGGUGAGUAACGCGUAGGUAACCUGCCUCUUAGCGGGGGAUAACUAUUGGAAACGAUAGCUAAUACCGCAUAAAAGUCGAUAUCGCAUGAUAUUGAUUUGAAGGGUGCAAAUGCAUCACUAAGAGAUGGACCUGCGUUGUAUUAGCUAGUUGGUGAGGUAACGGCUCACCAAGGCGACGAUACAUAGCCGACCUGAGAGGGUGAUCGGCCACACUGGGACUGAGACACGGCCCAGACUCCUACGGGAGGCAGCAGUAGGGAAUCUUCGGCAAUGGGGGCAACCCUGACCGAGCAACGCCGCGUGAGUGAAGAAGGUUUUCGGAUCGUAAAGCUCUGUUGUAAGAGAAGAACGAGUGUGAGAGCGGAAAGUUCACACUGUGACGGUAACUUACCAGAAAGGGACGGCUAACUACGUG